GAUGAACGCUGGCGGCGUGCCUAAUACAUGCAAGUCGAGCGAACAGACGAGGAGCUUGCUCCUCUGACGUUAGCGGCGGACGGGUGAGUAACACGUGGAUAACCUACCUAUGAGACUGGGAUAACUUCGGGAAACCGGAGCUAAUACCGGAUAAUAUAUUGAACCGCAUGGUUCAAUAGUGAAAGACGGUUUUGCUGUCACUUAUAGAUGGAUCCGCGCCGCAUUAGCUAGUUGGUAAGGUAACGGCUUACCAAGGCAACGAUGCGUAGCCGACCUGAGAGGGUGAUCGGCCACACUGGAACUGAGACACGGUCCAGACUCCUACGGGAGGCAGCAGUAGGGAAUCUUCCGCAAUGGGCGAAAGCCUGACGGAGCAACGCCGCGUGAGUGAUGAAGGUCUUCGGAUCGUAAAACCCUGUUAUUAGGGAAGAACAAAUGUGUAAGUAACUAUGCACGUCUUGACGGUACCUAAUCAGAAAGCCACGGCUAACUACGUG
rnacentral:rRNA from 1 species